ACAGGUGAGUCCUCAGCCGGUCUCAAAGCCUUUUGGAUUUCCUGGAAAUAGUGCUGUUGUACCGACAGUGAGCUCUACAGCCACCCUGACCACUACGACAGUGACAACUACAGUGACAGCAACCUCGGUGGUCUAUACUUCUACUUCACAGCCUGUCCCUCUGCCGAUAAAUCCAGACUAUAACGACUCAUGACUCAUGAGUCACUGCCAGGACCUAUCUGCAAGCCACACUGACGCUAGCCAACUCCCCCACAUUCCCAUGUGUCUGGAAGCCAGUCUAGGCGGAGACAGCAACAACUUGCCAGGGAAGAAGUGGAAAAGUGACAUGCAGAAAAGCCCGAUGUCCUGGCCCGUCUGAAAACCAACGCCGGACGUCCAGCAACAGGAGUCUGUCGUCACAAUGUCCUCAGUCUACAAGUCAUCAGAUUCUAAGUUUUCAUUUCUUGUUUACUUUCUCUAAGGGUUUUUUUUUGCUUUUCUUUAAAAAAAAAGAAGGGAUUAAAAUUAAAAAGGGAAACAGAAAGAGGGUUGAGAAGCUUUACUUGUUGUUUAAGGGAAUUUUGUAGUAUCUCUCAUCUGGUCGUUUU